rnacentral:rRNA from 1 species
GACGAACGCUGGCGGCGUGCUUAACACAUGCAAGUCGAACGAUGAAGCCGGAGCUUGCUCUGGUGAAUUAGUGGCGAACGGGUGAGUAACACGUGUGUAACCUGCCCUUGACUCUGGGAUAACUGCUAGAAAUGGUAGCUAAUACCGGAUACGACCCUCGGAGGCAUCUCCAGGGGGUGGAAAGAAUUUCGGUCAAGGAUGGACUCGCGGCCUAUCAGCUAGUUGGUGAGGUAACGGCUCACCAAGGCGACGACGGGUAGCCGGCCAGAGAGGGUGACCGGCCACACUGGGACUGAGACACGGCCCAGACUCCUACGGGAGGCAGCAGUGGGGAAUAUUGCAUAAUGGGCGCAAGCCUGAUGCAGCAACGCCGCGUGAGGGAUGACGGCCUUCGGGUUGUAAACCUCUUUUAGUAGGGAAGAAGCGAAAGUGACGGUACCUGCAGAAAAAGCACCGGCUAACUACGUGCCAGCCGCCGCGGUAA